CCUGGCCGGCGCCUUUAGCCCAGCCGGAAAUGCUUCUCAAAGCUUUGCAGUAUUCACACAGAGCCCAUUUGCAGCGUGGCUGUAGAAAAGCAUUGCUCAUGGUGCCUGGCUGAAAGAGAAACCCUUUGAAGUGCAGCGAGGUUGGGUUUUGCAAGUCCAGUGAUUGCUAUCAAGAAAAAGAGCUGGGGAUCAAUCAACGGAAAAACUUCAAGCAUCUACAAAACCACAAACACACUCCGCUUGUUCACACAGAUACCGACCUCAGUGUCUCCGCUGUUAAUGUUGGGUAUCUGAGGCUGUUUACUGCUGCCCCCUCAGACACAGUGAGUGUUCUGCUGAUCUCGAGUCUGACUGCUGGGCUACUUCUGUUCCUCCUUGCUUUGGGCUUGUAUUUUACAUUAAAGCGCCGAAGCCAGGCCAAGAAACCAGAAGUUUCCCUGGAAAUGUCCGAUCCCAUUUGCAGCACCCCUGCCCCUGCCCGGAGAGAGUCCUUUACACAGCCCGUCGGCAGUGAAAUGAUCUAUUCAAAACUGCAGUGGAGCAAGUACAGUGUGGUGUCCUCUCCAGAGGGGAGCGCUCACUCUGGCGAGCCAGUGACGAAGGAGCCCAGAGCGGGGACCAGUGACCCAGCAACGGACACUGUGUAUGCCAUGCUUCAGGCACCGUGAAUGUAUCCCCUCCAUCUCGUGUAACACAACUGUCUCCAGCAAACACCCCUUUUCUUCAGUGGUGUGGCUCUGGCAUGUAAUAAAUGUA